UACGUAGGUGGCGAGCGUUGUCCGGAUUUAUUGGGUUUAAAGGGUGCGUAGGCGGCUUUGUAAGUCAGUGGUGAAAUACUCCAGCUUAACUGGAGGGGUGCCAUUGAUACUGCGGAGCUUGAGUGUUAUUGAAGUAGCUGGAAUAAGUAGUGUAGCGGUGAAAUGCAUAGAUAUUACUUAGAACACCAAUUGCGAAGGCAGGUUACUAAGCAACAACUGACGCUGAUGGACGAAAGCGUGGGGAGCGAACAGG
rnacentral:rRNA from 1 species